rnacentral:rRNA from 1 species
UACAGAGGUGGCAAGCGUUGUUCGGAAUUACUGGGCGUAAAGGGCGCGUAGGCGGUCUUUUAAGUCUUGUGUGAAAUCCCUCGGCUCAACUGAGGAACUGCACGGGAUACUGGAAGACUUGAGUUCGGGAGAGGGAAGCGGAAUUCCGGGUGUAGCGGUGAAAUGCGUAGAUAUCCGGAGGAACACCGGUGGCGAAGGCGGCUUCCUGGACCGAUUACUGACGCUGAGGCGCGAAAGCUAGGGGAGCAAACGGG